rnacentral:rRNA from 1 species
UACGUAGGGUGCAAGCGUUGUCCGGAAUUAUUGGGCGUAAAGAGCUCGUAGGCGGUCUGUCGCGUCGGCUGUGAAAUCCCGAGGCUCAACCUCGGGUCUGCAGUCGAUACGGGCAAACUGGAGUGGUGCAGGGGAGACUGGAAUUCCUGGUGUAGCGGUGAAAUGCGCAGAUAUCAGGAGGAACACCGGUGGCGAAGGCGGGUCUCUGGGCACCAACUGACGCUGAGGAGCGAAAGCGUGGGGAGCGAACAGG